GGCAAAUAACUGAAAACACCUUAAAUCUAUUACUAGAAGGUAAAUGGGGUAUCUAAAACCCACAAAACAAAAUCCUAGAAAACAAACUGAGGACAUGACCUCAGUGUCUUCAGUGGUAGCUACAGUCCUGCACACAUGCGCAGCCAAGAUCCCCCAAUAUGGCCACUACAGGAUGAAGCCCUAGAUGUUUUUACCCUGUGAACCGCGCUGCAGCCUCAGGGGAGAGCGGCCACCGCUUCCCUGCUGACUGACAGACCUCCACACUGAGGCCUGGAGGAAGAAGAAUCAGGAAAUGCUGUUAUUGUGAGCUAACCAGGGAAUCCAGGAACGCCAGGCAGACCGAUGUCUCCCUUCGCACCAG